rnacentral:rRNA from 1 species
AGUGAACGCUGGCGGUAGGCCUAACACAUGCAAGUCGAACGGCAGCACAGUAAGAGCUUGCUCUUACGGGUGGCGAGUGGCGGACGGGUGAGGAAUACAUCGGAAUCUACUUUUUCGUGGGGGAGAACGUAGGGAAACUUACGCUAAUACCGCAUACGACCUACGGGGGAAAGCAGGGGAUCUUCGGACCUUGCGCGAUUGAAUGAGCCGAUGUCGGAUUAGCUAGUUGGCGGGGUAAAGGCCCACCAAGGCGACGAUCCGUAGCUGGUCUGGGAGGAUGAUCAGCCACACUGGAACUGAGACACGGUCCAGACUCCUACGGGAGGCCGCAGUGGGGAAUAUUGGACAAUGGGCGCAAGCCUGAUCCAGCCAUACCGCGUGGGUGAAGAAGGCCUUCGGGUUGUAAAGCCCUUUUGUUGGGAAAGAAAAGCAGCAGGUUAAUACCCCGCUGUUCUGACAGUACCCAAAGAAUAAGCACCGGCUAACUUCGUG